CUCAGGACACGCUGGCGGCGUGCUUAACACAUGCAAGUCGAACGGUGACCCAGGGCUUGCCCUGGUGAUCAGUGGCGAACGGGUGAGUAACACGUGGGCAACCUGCCCCUGACUUCGGGAUAACUCCUCGAAAGAGGAGCUAAUACCGGAUACGACCACUUCGGACAUCCGAUGGUGGUGGAAAGUUUUUCGGUCAGGGAUGGGCCCGCGGCCUAUCAGCUAGUUGGUGGGGUAAUGGCCUACCAAGGCGACGACGGGUAGCCGGCCUGAGAGGGCGACCGGCCACACUGGGACUGAGACACGGCCCAGACUCCUACGGGAGGCAGCAGUGGGGAAUAUUGCGCAAUGGGCGAAAGCCUGACGCAGCGACGCCGCGUGAGGGAUGAAGGCCUUCGGGUUGUAAACCUCUUUCAGCAGGGACGAAGCGAAAGUGACGGUACCUGCAGAAGAAGCACCGGCUAACUACGUG
rnacentral:rRNA from 1 species